CAAGAUGGAAACACGAAUAUCUGACGUCACUCCGUGAAUUUCACCGUACAUCUGGAAGAAACGAACAAACAAUACAAAUAGGUGACAUUGUACAAGUACACAAUGACACAAAUCGUAUAAUGUGGAAAUUAGCAGUUGUACAAGAUUUAGUUCGUGGAAAGGAUGGACUCAUUCGAUCAGCUGUUAUCAAGACCGACACAGGAAUCACCAACCGUCCGAUUGUGAAGCUCUAUCCGUUGGAAAUACGCAGUACAAAUGAUGACAGUGAAUGAACUUUUCUGCCCUGGAGAAAUUAGUGGAUGUAUAGACUGUUCAAUUAACUACGGUUAUUAGAUAGACUUGUAAAAGUGUUAAAUUAUUCAGACG
rnacentral:lncRNA from 1 species